CACACACACACACACACUCACACACACACUGGAUGUUUGUAAUUGUGAAGUCUGCUGCCUUUACCCAGCAGACCGUCGUGCUCUGCCAUAGAUAUAAAAGUUGAAUGACUCUGAGAAUCAUCACGAGUCGCAGAGUUGCCGUUGGAGGAGUUGUUAAGCCGAGCCGAGGGGCAGAUGUGCGUCUUUGAAACUUAUGAAAUAUCUACACUCCUCUUCUUUGUACUACUCUUCUCUCAUCAUCCAGUUUGUCCCGGGACUCUCCGGCUCAUCUCAGCACCUUCUCAGGCAAUAAUUCCCGCAGCGGCUUCAUGAAAGAUUCAUUAAGCUUUCACAGAGUUUGCUGCCUUUUCUGUUUUCUUUUCUUUUUUUUUUUUAGUUUGAAGGACGGUGUUGAAGGUGUUUUGACAGUCGCUCCAGGAGGAGAGAGCCCGCCACGCCACCUCAACAACGCCCACGGAAGCAAUAACGUUUCCCGCCUCGAUGGGACAGACGGAUCUCAUCACCCGGCGGCCACAGAUGAUAUUUCUUCCCUCUCUCGGGUGCCUCGGGGUGGAUUACAGAGGCGAGGUGGUGCCUGGGAGGUCGCGCCGUUUGAAGGCCUGAGUGGUUUCGCAGGAGCCGCCUGGAGAGACCGAAGCAGCAGCUUCCUCCCCGCUGAGGAGGACGACACUGAAUUAACAUUCAGGAGAAGCUGAAAGGUGUCCUGGAGGUGCAAACCAGAGUGGAAGGUGCCUCAGGGUGGAUCAGACAGGCGAGGUGGUGUCUGGGAGGUCCGUUUGAAGUCCUGAGUGGUUCUGAGCAGCAGCUUCCUCCCCGCUGAGGAAGACGAAGUUUAGAGGCGUCAAACAGAGAUGGAAGAAGAUGUAAUCGUCCCUGUCCACACGCAGCAGUAAGCAACACGACCACCAGAGGGCGCCAACCUUUUCCAUUGUCGCUCUGCUGAGGCUCUGAGAGGCAGGUGAAGGUGUCCCGGAUCGCCAGCAGACCGGAGGCCAGAAGACGUCCGCUCACUCUGCUGUGCCACUCCUGAGACCGGCCCCUGGAAGACAGAGCAAACCAGGAGAAGACGUGGCAACUUUGUGAAAAAGCUCCUGAACUCUGCGGCUGCAUGAUUCAUCGUCGAACAUCUUCGUGUGUUUGUGAGACAUUCUGGGUCGCUGCAGAAAUGAAUAUUUUCUCAUCCCAAAAGAAAAAGUAAUGAUACGACAGACUGUGAGGAUUUAUCGUCCUUAAAUCUAAAAUACGACUCUGAUUUUGGUGUAAUAAAGUUGUAAAUUAUGAAAAACUGAUUAAAAUAUAAAGGAUAAGUUCACCCAAAAGUGAAAAAAAACCCUCUGUCAUCAUCUCCUCC